rnacentral:ncRNA from 1 species
UGGAAAAAAACAGGGAGCUUGUGUUACAGGCUGAGAGGAGGGUAUAACCCUCGACCUAUAACCUGAUUUGGAUAAUGCCAACGUAGGGAAAUAUGAGGUAAAUUAU